UGGGGAAUUUUGCACAAUGGGCGAAAGCCUGAUGCAGCAACGCCGCGUGUGUGAUGAAGGUCUUCGGAUCGUAAAGCACUUUCGACCGGGACGAACAAGCCUGGCCACACCAGGCCCUGACGGUACCGGGAGAAGAAGCACCGGCUAACUCUGUGCCAGCAGCCGCGGUAAUACAGAGGGUGCAAGCGUUGUUCGGAAUUAUUGGGCGUAAAGCGCGUGUAGGCGGCUUAGCAAGUCGGGCGUGAAAGCCCUCGGCUCAACCGAGGAAGUGCACCCGAAACUGCUGAGCUUGAGUGCCGGAGAGGAUGGCGGAAUACCCCAAGUAGAGGUGAAAUUCGUAGAUAUGGGGUGGAACACCGGUGGCGAAGGCGGCCAUCUGGACGGUAACUGACGCUGAGACGCGAAAGCGUGGGGAGCAAACAGGAUUAGAUACCCUGGUAGUCCACGCCGUAAACGAUGAGAACUAGAUGUCGCGGGUGUUGACCCCUGCGGUGUC
rnacentral:rRNA from 1 species